AGGUGCGAUCAUCCCAGCACUAAUGCACCGGAUCCCAUCAGAACUCCGCAGUUAAGCGUGCUUGGGCGAGAGUAGUACUAGGAUGGGUGACCUCCUGGGAAGUCCUCGUGUUGCACCUC
rnacentral:rRNA from 1 species